rnacentral:rRNA from 1 species
UACCGCUACCUUGUUACGACUUCGCCCCAGUCACUGAUUUGACCUUCGACGGCUGCCUCCUUGCGGUUAGCUCACCGGCUUCGGGUCCCCCCAGCUUCCAUGGCGUGACGGGCGGCGUGUACAAGGCCCGGGAACGUAUUCACCGUGGCGUAGCUGAUCCACGAUUACUAGCGAUUCCAACUUCAUGCAUUCGAGUUUCAGACUGCAAUCCGAACUUAGACCGGCUUUUUGCGAUUAGCAGACUCUCGCGAGCUAGCGACGCUCUGUACCGGCCAUUGUAUCACGUGUGUAACCCUGGGCGUAAGGGCCAUGCUGACUUGACGUCAUCCCCGCCUUCCUCCGGUUUGACACCGGAAGUCCCCCUAGAGUCCCCGGCCGAACCGCUGGCAACUAGGAGCGAGGAUUGCACUCGUUGCCGGACUUAACCCAACAUCUCACAACACAAGCUGACGACAGCCAUGCAACACCUGUGUACGGACUCGGAACAGGGGCCUAUGUUUCUACCGGCUUUCCCGCACAUGUCAAGCCCAGGUAAGGUUCUUCGCGUUGCAUCGAAUUAAACCACAUGCUCCACCGCUUGUGCGGGCCCCCGUCAAUUCCUUUGAGUUUCAGCCCUGCGGCCGGACUCCUCAGGGCGGGGUACUUACUG